GGCGGCAUAGCCAAGUGGUAAGGCGAAGGACUGCAACUCCUUGAUCAUUGGUUCGAAUCCGAUUGUCGCCUCCA
rnacentral:tRNA from 2 species